rnacentral:rRNA from 1 species
UAGGGAAUNUCCGCAAUGGGCGAAAGCCUGACGGAGCAACGCCGCNUGAGUGAUGAAGGUCUUCGGAUCGUAAAACUCUGUUAUCAGGGAAGAACAAAUGUGUAAGUAACUAUGCACGUCUUGACGGUACCUAAUCAGAAAGCCACGGCUAACUACGUGCCAGCAGCCGCGGUAAUACGUAGGUGGCAAGCGUUAUCCGGAAUUAUUGGGCGUAAAGCGCGCGUAGGCGGUUUUUUAAGUCUGAUGUGAAAGCCCACGGCUCAACCGUGGAGGGUCAUUGGAAACUGGAAAACUUGAGUGCAGAAGAGGAAAGUGGAAUUCCAUGUGUAGCGGUGAAAUGCGCAGAGAUAUGGAGGAACACCAGUGGCGAAGGCGACUUUCUGGUCUGUAACUGACGCUGAUGUGCGAAAGCGUGGGGGAUCAAACAGGAUUAGAUACCCUGGUAGUCCACGCCGUAAACGAUGAGUGCUAAGUGUUAGGGGGUUUCCGCCCCUUAGUGCUGCAGCUAACGCAUUAAGCACUCCGCCUGGGGAGUACGACCGCAAGGUUG